CAACCCUCAAGCCCUGCUUGGUGUUGGGGCACUGCUCUCGCCCGAGAGCAGGCCCUGAAAUCUAGUGGCGAGCUCGCCAGGACCCCGAGCGCAGUAGUUAAACCCUCGCUCUGGAAGGCCCUGGCGGUGCCCUGCCGUUAAACCCCCAACUCUUGAAA
rnacentral:misc_RNA from 1 species